AUGGACAUGAGGGGCUGCACACUGCUCUUGGGGAUUCUGGUGCUGUGGCCAGCAGGCUCCAGAUGUGACAUCCAGAUGACACAGACUCCAUCCUUCCUGUCUGCAUCUCUGGGAGACAGAGUCACCAUUACCUGCAGGUCCAGUAAGGGUAUUAGCAAUUACUUAAACUGGUACCAGCAGAAACCAGGGGAAAGUCCCAAACUCCUGAUCUACUAUGCAUCCAGCUUACACACUGGGGUCCCAUCCAGAUUCAGUGGCAGUGGAUCUGGGGCACAGUAUUCUCUCACCAUCAGCAACCUGGAGUCUGAAGAUGCUGCAAUUUAUUACUGUCAGCAGUACUAUGAGGACCCUACCCACAGUGAUACAAGUCAUUACAUAAAGCUCUGGGAAAGAAGAAGUGUGAGGCUGGGCUGCCCUGCCUCUCUUGGUGAUUUGUCCUAUUGA